GAGAAAUUGUAUCUCCUUCACUCUUGACACAAAUUUAGAAGAAGGCAAAUACUCCCUCCGAUCCGCUCAAACACAAAUAGGCUCUUCGUUUCCCAGCUAAUGACCAACAGUUUCUUCAUAGUCACCCUACAGACAAAGACUUGAUCUUCCUUCAUCUUUGUCCCCAGACGAAAACCAGUACACUUUAUCCUCCGACGCUGCUCGCCGUCUCUCUCCUCUUUUGGCGUUUGGAUUCCAGUUAAUUUGCAUAGGUUUAGGUUAUUGGAUUAUGGCACCAGUGAGAGAUAGAAUCAGUCAACUUCCUGCGGAUAUACUUGACCACAUCUUGGGAUUCUUGCCAAUUCAAGAUGCUGCUAAAACCGCUGUGUUAUCUUCCAUUUGGAGAGAUGUUUGGCUUCGUCUUACCCAACUCAAUUUUGAUCAUGGGUUCUUUCAUUAUAUUAAUAAUAAACAUUGCCAUGCUAGCAAGUAUGUCAAGAAAUCAGCUGCAAGUUUAUACGUGAUCAACAAAGUUCUCCUGCUGCACAAAGGAACAAUUCAGAAAUUUGUUCUCUGUUUUUAUAAUGUUGGGAUACUUGCAAUUAGGUCUCGGUCUUAUGACUUUGACCAGUGGUUACUUUUAGUCACACAUAAAGGUGUUGAAGAGAUCUACAUUCGUUUUGGAGAAGAAGCAUAAAUAGUUAAUUGGGCUGCGUAGUUUAACAAUCGAAUCUUUCUCAUCUAACGGGUUGGGCAAAUUUCUCCCGGUUAACUUGGACUUGAGAUCUAUUUCUACUCUUGUUUUGGGUGGUUGUGUCCAGGGAUUUGUUAAAGAAUCCACCAGGAUGGGAUUUCGACUGAAUGUGGAAUACCUUAAGCUUUCACGUUUUGAAAAAUUCAAUCCCCAAACUAACAGAUCAUCUUCUGUGCUUGCUCAUUUGCUGCAAUUAUGCCCUAAGUUAUGCGAACUGGAUAUCAAUUUAAUUGGGCUCAAUUCAGUGACUACUGAAUGCAUGGACCCCUUGUUGGAACUUAAUGAUGUGGCUCUAACAAAUAAGAUGCUCCAUGCUUUGAAGUUUAUCUCAUUUAAAGGGUCACAUUCUGAAAUGCUUUUCAUUAAGAAACUACUUGCUAGUUUUUCAACACUUGAAAAGGUUGUCAUUGUUCGUGAGAAAUAUCACUGCAAAAAGGACUCUACUGAAAUUAUGCAGGAGCUUUUGGAUCUUCCCGUUGCCUCCACAAAAAUGAAAAUUAUUAUUGUCUAGUGAGUAUAUUUCCAUUGAAAAAACAAGUUUCUAUGAAAAUCUCUGCAUUCCAUUCAGUUGUUGUGUGUGUGCCCAAUCUUGUGGCAACUUGAGAUAUGCUUAUCGAUAAUAUUCAUUUUCACAGCUACCUUAUUCAGUGAAGUUUUGAUUGUUUGUAUUGUUUUUUAUUCCCUAAUGCAAUUUUGUCCCAAAUUAUUUUUGGAAGGUUGAUGGAAUGAAGCCUAAUGGUGACAACAUUGCAUUGAUGUUUUGGAAGUAACGGCUUAGCUAGUUUGGCUCAUGCACAAAGUUCUUCGCAGUGAGGGUCGAGGAAAGAAAUAUUUUUUUGUCAAGGCAUUUCUUGUUUGCUUUCCUAUGCUCUCUUUAUGCUCUCUUUUUAACACUCAAGAAGGUUGUCGUUGUUCAUGCAUACCCAUAAUUUGCAAGAGGUUUUCAAUUUUCCUCGUGUCUUAGAAAAGCAAAAAUGAUUUUCUUUUAAAAGUCUUGUUGUAUUUUUACUAUUGGACUCAAAUCCUUUUGUUUCCUUCUAUGAAUGAUAUGCUCUAUAACUUUUGCAAUGUGCCAUGGUUAGCUUGUAUAUAA